AUCCAGCUAACGAGUCCCAAAUAGGACGAAAAGCGGGUCCUGGAU
rfam:Schistosoma curassoni strain Dakar, Senegal genome assembly, scaffold: SCTD_scaffold0002299